ACUCCAUGAAGCUGGAUUCGCUAGUAAUCGCGCAUCAGCCACGGCGCGGUGAAUACGUUCCCGGGCCUUGUACACACCGCCCGUCAAGCCAUGGAAGCCGGGAGUGCCUGAAGUGCGUGACCGCAAGGAGCGUCCUAAGGCAAUACCGGUGACUGGGGCUAAGUCGUAACAAGGUAAC
rnacentral:rRNA from 1 species